UACGAGUGCCCCAAGCGUUAUCCGGAAUCAUUGGGCGUAAAGGGUGUGUAGGCGGUUGUGUUAGUCUUUUGUUAAAUUCUUCGGCUUAACCGGGGACAUGCAAGGGAAACGGCACAACUAGAGGAUGCAAGAGGUAUAUGGAACUCAUAGUGGAGGGGUGAAAUCCGUUGAUAUUAUGGGGAACACCGAAAGCGAAGGCAGUAUACUGGUGCAUUUCUGACGCUGAAAUACGAAAGCGUGGGUCGCGAAU
rnacentral:rRNA from 1 species